GUGAGGCAGCAGCCUGCUGCCACGGUGCAGACGUGAACGGUUGAUAGCCUGGCAGGAGCGUGUGUGCGUGUGCGUGCGUGUGCAUGCAUGUGUGUGUGUGUGUGCAUGCGUGUGUGCGUGCGCAUGUCUGCCUGUCCGGGCAGGGUUUGGCCGCCAGUGUCCCGUGGGAGUUGCAGGGCCCCGCUGAGGGUCCCAACUCCUGGCUGCUCCUGCAAACUGGGGUGCAGAGCAGCUCACGCACUCGGAGCGGCACCAGGAGCUGGUCAAAGGAGGCAGCCGCUGGCAAGUGGAGCACAAGCUGGAGCUGGGGCCAUGUUUAUUUCCCAGAGAAAACUGGAAAGCAGUUUCUGCUGGAGCUGAUCUGUGCCGAGAGCCCAGCCUUUGCUCCAGGCCCCUGCGCUUGGGGCUGUGGUCCACAUGGCUGGAGUGAGGAUUAGCACCUGCACCCCAGAGAUGUGGGACGCCAGGGUGAGGUACUGCCACGGCACUGGGGCCAGAGGACUGGGAGUCCCAGCACCCCGGGCAGCCCAGCCCAGCCUAGCCCAGGUAAGCCUGGCUCAGCAAGGGAGCAGCGGUCAGAGCAGCCCCAGGACAGUCACCUGCCUUCGAGCAGGGCUUCCAGGGCGAGCAGGGGACCCCGAGAAGGGAGCUCUGGCUGGGCAGCCUGGCAGGACCCCAGCAGCCCGUACCACUGCUGGCCCAUCGCCACCCAAACGAGCCCGGCCCUCAGCCCAGCGCAGAGACGGGACUGUGCCUUCCGUCACCCGCCGGUUCAACUGGACCAGCCCGGGGAUGCUAAGAGCAUGUGGCCAUAGGCUUCAGGUGGGCAUUCACAGCAACAGGAGCUCUGUGGAGACUCACUGAUUCAAGAGAAAAUGCCGCUUUACACCAACACAAAGCAGAGGGAAUUCAUUCCAGUCGUACAGCUUUGCUAGUUAUUUUCAGAACAGACUGUUUUAAAGCAAUUAGCAAAUUUAUCUUUAAUGACACUAGUUGUGCUUUGCAGUUUGCCUGGAAAUGUUAGAUACAAAUUUAGUCCAUCAUCAAGACAUGGUGUAGACUUUGUCACUUUAAGCAAAUUUAGACCUAUAUAGGGAGACACGCGUCACAACAUUUUCAGUAGAAUUUUAUAUGGAGGAGCAAAACAAUACACAGAGGAAAAUGAAAUGCUUUGACUGUUUUUAAAUCCAAAGAGAAUUAAAAAUGUACAAUAAUGCUACAUAAAUCUGUAUCAGCUAUUGUAAAAUAGUACUGACAUGUGGUAAACGUCUUCAACCUGCCUGGUGAAAAUGAAGCUCCUAAAUGCACAGUGUAAAGUAGAGGUGGUCUCAAAACUGCUGAACCCCCACAUCCACCUCUCAGGCAGCGGAGUUUGUGGGUGCUCAGGGUUGGCUCGGUGCCUGACACUUGUCUUCACUGUACGUGGCUCGAGAAGGCCAGUGCUGGGGUCAGAGCAUGCUGUCAAAACGGAACAGGCUGCGUGGAAAAUCACCUUUUGGCUCAUCUGCAGAUUUGCUGCCUUUUCUGUCAGGGGCUUGCUGAGCAUUCAUGAAAUGUUUCUGGGACAUAAAUAUAAUAGUAAUAAGUUCAGGAAUAAGUAACAGUUAUCUAGUUAGUGCCCUGUUGUGUCACACCAAGAUGAGCGAGGGUCUCCACAAGCCUUACGUGUAGAGGGAAAUACCAAGUUGCUGGAUGCCGAGGGCUGAAGGGUCUGGACCUGCGCUGGGCAGCGAUGGGGCUGCACCUGGGACACCUGGGCUCUGACCCCCCCAUUGGGGUUACUUCUUUCCUCGGUGCCUUUAGUCCAUGCCUGCGAGGCUUAAAGCGUUACGUGUUUUCAUUCCCUCCUGGUGCACAAGGGGAACCAGGAACCGACUGCCUGCACCAGCCGUGUCACCCAGCCCUUGCCGGUGGCUGCCUGGGGAGCUCAUGGGGGGCAAGGGGGGGCAGCCCUGCCAGCGCCCGGGCACAUCCAGCGCUGCGCUGCUGCCGGGACCAGACACCCCCCGCACCGCCUCCUACCCUGCCUGGUUCGCAGUGGCAGAGCCUGAUCCUGACAUGGGUUGUUAUUUAUAAAAGUUUGAAGAGCGCAAUAUCUCUCCAUUUACUCACUGUCAGAACAGAAAAGCUGGGAAGGAAACCAAGCCAUCAUCCACCAAACGAGCAAAGCGUUUGGCUAGUGCAAGGGAACUAAAUAAUUCAGGUCCUGUUUAAAAGUGUGGUGUUUUGUAAUUUCAGUGGAACCAUCUUGGUUUGACUCCCUACGUUCUCACACUUGAAGGAGAUGCUCCCACCAGGCAGAUGAGCCGAGCUUCUCUUUCCAGGAGAGAAAGAAGCAGGGAGCAGGUGGGGAGGUUAAUCACACUGUCAGCAUUUGCUUGCUUUUUAAACUUGCAUGAGUUUGGAGAUCAAAAUGGAGAGGAGAUGUAGGGCAGAUGGAUUUGCAGGGAAACCUUUGAUUUUUCUCCUCCUGAGGCUGGUGUGUCUAAGGCAUGCCUUCUGCAAGUUUACCGGGGCCCUUAUUUACACAGGGUGAGCCCUGCCGCUGGAUGCCGAAAGCACUGGGGAGGUUGCCGGAGGGAGGACUGCGGUACGGAGGACAAAUCCUCCCCCCGGGUGCCCCUCUGGCAGGGGCCGAGAGGCAGCACCCUGGGCUGCCUGGGGCAGAAGCACGCUCCAGGGCUGCUGCUGCUUGGCUCCAUUAAGAGCCGCCCCAGGGCCCCAGCAGCCCCACACCGGGUGGAUGCAACUGGGGGUACGACGGCAGGGGCCACCUCGGAGGGACCGCCGUCACCAUCACCCUCUGAGCUGCCUUUGCCUGUGGAAGCGAGAGUUAGCAUCCUCCUAAACAGACCUCUGCCGAACUGUGUGCACAAAAAACAAGGUGCUGCCCAGGCAAACAGACCCGUUGCCCAGUCCCGCUGUGCUGAUCCCUCCCAGACAGCGUGGGAAGCUGUGUGAUGCUCUGCACCCGCAGGAGGGCUCGGGGGGAGCUGGGUCUGGUGCUGCUGGAGGUGAUGCUCCUUGGUCUCCCCUGGCACAGACCCCUUGGCCUCGCAGCAAGGGGUCCCACCACCUUCACGUUUGCAUCUUGAAGUCGCAUCCGAACAGCAGCUGGAGCCGUCCUUCAGGAUGGGGAAAGGCGGGAGACGGCCAGCAUGGGAAGCGCAACACCCACUCCCCAGGGCUCCCCUGCAGCACACGGCCAGAGAGGCAGAUGGAUGCUGUGGAGGCUCUGGUGUAUUUGGGCUUGCCUUGUGUUACCAGUUCUGGGAAGAAGAGACGAGGAAGGAUCGCAGCUGAUCAUGCUCUUCAGACGUGCAGCGAGCGGGGCCACGUGCGGGAGCUGCAGUAUUUAUGGCACGCAGAGAACAUCCCUUUCAUCUCCUGUGUUUGAAAUCCUCCUCCAGAGCUACCUGUGGGACAGUGCUGCACAGAGCACACCCAAAUACACUGUAUAAUUCACACAACAAAAAACACAUAAAAGGAUGUUAGGCCUAGAAGACAAACCCACUAAAAAAUCAGGAAAUUAUUUGGGGAGAAGUAUUAAAUUUUCAAGACCUCUGCAGGAUGCAUAGCUAUGGAAGCUUCAGCUGAGGACGCCAUGGUCACCUGUUGGUUGCCAGACCCUAAAGUAUUUUUGCAAGUCACCUGGCAGGUCUCUCCUUUGCGUGCAGUGUACCUACAGCUCACCACAAGCCAGCCACGACGAGACGGGCUCUGCUGGAGCAGCCCGGAGCUUGCACCAACGCACCCUCGGGCCAGAGCCCGAGCCCUGCGUCUGCUGCGGUCAGCGCUGGCUCCUGCGGGACACGGAGCGCCUGCCAGGAGGACCCUGCACGCCACAGCCCAGCACAAAGGCAGCCAGCUCGUUUCUCACACAAGCCCCGUGCUGGUGGGGUGCCGGCCGUGCUGCCCCGAGCCCAGGGGCUGAGCUGGCCCCUGAGCUCGCCAGCCCACUGUCCUGCACCGCUCCGACGGAGCCUGGUGCUUACGUGUUCCUUCAGCAGCUCUGUGAGCAAGAACAAAACAUGUCAAGGAUCUGAGUCAGAGAAGAUACUUAAAGUUUGAUAUCGCAGUUGUUUCAGAAUACAUCUGGUUUUCCCCAAAUGCCAAAACAGAUUAGUCUACAACCGUUACCACAUUAUGGCCUGAGUGCAGUUUUCUGCCUAUAAAAAAGAAGCAAAACGCAGAGAUCCUCCUUUAAGUAAUGUAGUGAGAACAUAUAAAAGCAUCUGAA